rnacentral:rRNA from 1 species
AGUGAACGCUGGCGGUAGGCCUAACACAUGCAAGUCGAACGGCAGCACAGUAAGAGCUUGCUCUUACGGGUGGCGAGUGGCGGACGGGUGAGGAAUACAUCGGAAUCUACUUUUUCGUGGGGGAUAACGUAGGGAAACUUACGCUAAUACCGCAUACGACCUACGGGUGAAAGCAGGGGAUCUUCGGACCUUGCGCGAUUGAAUGAGCCGAUGUCGGAUUAGCUAGUUGGCGGGGUAAAGGCCCACCAAGGCGACGACCCGUAGCUGGUCUGAGAGGAUGAUCAGCCACACUGGAACUGAGACACGGUCCAGACUCCUACGGGAGGCAGCAGUGGGGAAUAUUGGACAAUGGGCGCAAGCCUGAUCCAGCCAUACCGCGUGGGUGAAGAAGGCCUUCGGGUUGUAAAGCCCUUUUGUUGGGAAAGAAAAGCAGCAGGUUAAUACCCCGUUGUUCUGACGGUACCCAAAGAAUAAGCACCGGCUAACCUCGUG